AUUGAACGCUGGCGGCCUGCCUUACACAUGCAAGUCGAACGGCAGCACGGGAGCAAUCCUGGUGGCGAGUGGCGAACGGGUGAGUAAAGUAUCGGAACGUGCCCAGUCGUGGGGGAUAACGUAGCGAAAGUUACGCUAAUACUGCAUACGAUCUAUGGAUGAAAGCGGGGGAUCGCAAGACCUCGCGCGAUUGGAGCGGCCGAUAUCAGAUUAGGUAGUUGGUGGGGUAAAGGCUCACCAAGCCGACGAUCUGUAGCUGGUCUGAGAGGACGACCAGCCACACUGGGACUGAGACACGGCCCAGACUCCUACGGGAGGCAGCAGUGGGGAAUUUUGGACAAUGGGCGAAAGCCUGAUCCAGCCAUGCCGCGUGCAGGAUGAAGGCCUUCGGGUUGUAAACUGCUUUUGUACGGAACGAAAAGGUUUGGCCUAAUAAGCUGAGCUCAUGACGGUACCGUAAGAAUAAGCACCGGCUAACUACGUGCCAGCCGCCGCAGUAA
rnacentral:rRNA from 1 species